rnacentral:sRNA from 1 species
UAUUGAAUGUUGAACUUGCUUGUUGAC